rnacentral:rRNA from 1 species
GACGUAGGGGCGAGCGUUGUCCGGAUUUAUUGGGCGUAAAGCGCGCGCAGGCGGUUCGGAAAGUCGGAUGUGAAAAUCCGGGGCUCAACCCCGGACGUGCAUCCGAUACUUCCGGACUGGAGGCAGGUAGGGGAGAGCGGAAUUCCCGGUGUAGCGGUGAAAUGCGCAGAUAAUCGGGAAGAACACCGGUGGCGAAGGCGGGUCUCUGGGCCGAUACUGACGCUGAGGAGCGAAAGCGUGGGAGCGAACGG